rnacentral:lncRNA from 1 species
CCCAUCUGUUUGUGGUCAGGCGUUGAGUUGCCCACAGGCAAGUUGGUGAAAUACGGCCUCUACUACAACAAGUGAACUCUCCUUCCUGUGGUCUCUCAUCCUGCGUGUGACAAACGUGAGAAGCAGCUGUCAUGGGGUCCUUCCUGUCGUCCAUUUCCUGAAUACCAAGGAAUGUCCACAUACAUUAAAAAAAAAAAAAAGAAGAAGUGCUAUAAAAGGAAAAGAGUGGUUACCACUUAAAGCCAUGGAACACGGUUGCUUUUAUAUCAGAAGUUAGCAGAAUUUGGAGACAAAUUCCUAACUUUUAAUAACAAAAUGCCAGGGACAUUGGAAAGGACAUAGAAAGAACUGUGUUAUCAGAGUGCUAAAAAAUGAACUACUCUACAACCAAUUUCUAUCCCAGGAGUUAGAAGGAAUGACAGAGAAGGGGAGAGGGAAGGAAGGACACUGAAAACAUAAACAUUAAGGUUAGGAACAUCUCAUCUCUCUUCCGGCUUUUCUACCUCCUUUUUUUUUUUUCUGUAAAAAGCCAAACAGUAAAUCUUUUUAACUUUGUGGGCUACACAUCUCUAUCACGAUAAUCAACUUUCCCAUUGCAAUGUGGGUUAAAAGAAAAAUUUUAGACAACGUGAAUUUAACAGUUUCACUGAGCAGAGAAUGAUUCAUGAACGGACCCCCAGACCAGAAUAGAUUCAGAGUGACUCUGUGGCUGCCUUAUGGUCACAUAAUAUGUAUGGACAGGAAAUUGAAAGCAAUUCACAGAUGACAGAGGUGAGUUACAAAGAGCUGGAUUGGCACAAAAGUAGGUGGCUGGGCAUGGUGGCCCACAACUAUAAUCUCAGCGCUUUGGGAGGCAAAAGUGGGAGGAUUGCUUGAGCCCAGGAGUUCAAGACCAGCCUGGGCAACAUAGUUGGAACCUAUGUCUACAGGUAUUUCAAAAAAGCAUUAAGUGGGCAUGCUGGCAUGUACCUAUGGUGAGCCAUGAUUGCACCACUGCACUCCAGCCUGGGAGAUGGAGUGAGACCUUGUCUCCUCCAUACUAAAAGAAAAAAAAAAAAAACAAGUAGGUUAGAGUCUGCACAAUGAGUUCUGUUACAGUUCACUUACAAAAAAAUCUUUAGGCUGAACUUAAAACAUGUAAGGAAGCAGCUUUAUGCUAAAUUUAAGAUAACAUGUGGAAGCAGUCAUGGACAAUAUGUCAGCAAAUGGGAGAGGCUGUGUUCCAAUAAAAUUUUAUUUAAAAAAACAAGCGAUGGGUCAGCUGAACUCGUAUAGUGUA